rnacentral:lncRNA from 1 species
UAUAACCGUUGUUAAAAAUAAUCAAGUUAAUGAAAAUCCCGUUAAGGAAAUCAAGCAAAGAUCUGAGGAACCGCAACCUCCUGUUAAAACGCAGGCUGGUCCAGUUGAACCAGCUCGUGAAGUGAAACCAAUUUCAACACCAACUAAGAAAAAAGAAGCUGAAAAGAAUAAGAAAAAUUCAUCUCAAAAAGAGAAUAAUGCUCUUUCCAGUCAAAAACAAUCAACCGAGAAGAAAGAUAGUCAAAGUAAAGAUAUUAAAAAGCCAAAAGCUUCAUUGGAUAGAUCGCCAAUAUCAAACAAAG